rnacentral:lncRNA from 10 species
GAAACCAGGCACGGGGUGGGUGGGCACCUGCCCAGAGCCAAGCAGCCUGGGAGAGGGCUCAGCUACCCAGACAGCUCUGCCGCAGAACAAGGAGGACCAGGAGGCCUCGAUUUACCCUUCAGCCCCGGGUCCCACAAAGGGCCAAGAUACAGUAGAAAACCCAGAUAAAGCCAAAAGAAAGCAACCACCUGGAAUUUCGCACCCAGAACAAACCUUUCUUCACAUGUGCACGGAUUUCUUUCUAGACUUUUCUUCAUCCAUCCAGGCAUUUUCAUACAAAAAGUGAAUCAUACCCCACAGAGAGUCUGCAACCUGCCGAGCUGUUUCCCACUCACCGCUAGAUCGUGGCUCUCUUUCGUGCCAAUGAAUAUACUUUUACAACAUCAUUCCUGCAGCUGUGCACGCACUUUGGGUGUGGCCAGAAAGUGAUUGAGGUCGACUGAGCCCCUGUAGGUUGGAUUUCUUUGGAGCAAAGGCAGAACUCUUAGUGGCUGGAAAGUCUCCGUGUGGAGCCUGAAAAAGCUGAGUCUGUGGGAAGCCAUGAAGAGAGAUGGAGGGACAGUGGGUCCUGAACCACAUUGUUUGAGCUGCUGGAUGAGGCCUUACCUGAACACUGCUAGUUU